rnacentral:lncRNA from 1 species
UUUGUGGAAAUAAUAACCUGUCCCGAACCGGGAGAUGUUGGCUGCAAUAGGAAUUUAUUUAUAAAAAAGUCCAUAUCUCAUUUACUUAUAGUGGCCGUUAUUGAUUGUAAAUUCAUGACGUUUUGUUUAUGACAUUCGUCUAUCGUGGAGGAAAAUGAGGGAAGGAGGGCUAAUAGCUUAACUUACGAGUCCGAUCAUUAUGGUUGAAAUCUAUUCUAUUACGGCAUACGUUUUACCUCUAGCG